GUGUCUGUAGACUAGUGGUAAUAGGCAGCACUCUAGAUGCUGAGGUUGUGGGUUUGGAUCCCACCAGACACA
rnacentral:tRNA from 1 species